rnacentral:lncRNA from 1 species
UGAAAUCAAAAGACGAUCCACUGCUUAAGAAUCUCCUCUUACUAACCCUUGUCGUCGCAGACGUGAUUUUGGCCGAAUCCGUUGACAACGAAGACGGUGAUGACGAGGGAGACGGCGAAUUGCUUUUCUUGAAGUUUAGUUUUUGAAGAAAUGCCGAAAAGAGUUUGGACGAUUUCGAGAUUUUUUUCUCAUUCUUUUUGUUUGCAUUGUUGAAAUGGUAAGAAGGUGGUGGUGUGAGAGGAGGAAUUGUGUCUUUAGAGAAUGUGUGUUUUGGAGUUCCGGGUUGAGAUUCCCAAACAAAUGGAACAGCAACAGAAACUCUAAAGGAUGGGUUAGAGAUGGAGUUUUCCUUUGAGAGUAAUCUGCUGAAAAACUUGUCAUCUUGUUUGAUUUGAAGAACACUUUUCUCACAAGUUGAAUUGAACAUUUUUGGUUGAUUGGAAAUAUUGGUAAGAAUGAGAGGAAGAAAAGUUUGGGGAAUAUAAAUGGACUUAGCAUAGGUUGCAUAUCUACUUAUAUGAACACCAACUCAAAAUAGUAUUGAAAGACACUAAUACCGUUUUUACAAUGAAAAAGGAAUUUUGAUUAAUUUAAAUGAUUAAAACUGUAAUCAGUAUUGCAACAUAUUCAACUAUCAAAGUUGUAAAAUUCUUUACAAUUUUUGCAUUCACUAAGUCACAAUGAUAUGGAUAAAUAUUUUGUUGAGACCAAAUGAUUCAAAAAAAUAUUUAAAAAAAUUGGAUGAUUUAUUUACGGUGUAAAUUAAUUGUAUACAGUCAAUUAAUAAGGAUCAUAUUCCACCGAUUCAGAUCAAAUAUUUUAAAUAAUUUAUAUGAAAUGACAGUGUGAUAUAUUUUAAUUGAAUGACCGUGUAAGUGUAUCUUCAUUAAAUUUAUUUUAAAAACUAAAAUAUAGAUAUUAGAAUUAGUUUGAUUUUGCAAAAUAUAGGGUUACAUUUGCAAAUUGGUUACUUUUAGUUAAAAAUGUUUAAAUUUCCUGUGCUUAACUGUUUUUUGGACCAUCUCUGUUUAUUUUAGUCUGUUUUUGGACCAUUUCAUUUAAAUUUGAAAGCAAGGCUAAAUUAAAUUGGAUAAAUUAUGGUUGUGGAUGCUAGUUUUUUAUUUCUGGAAUAUUGGUUUUGGACCCACACAUCUUAUAAUUAAAGUUUUAAAUUGUAAUUAUGGGCUAAUUAUGUGCCUUGAUAUUUUGGAAUAUUUUUUUUCCGAAUAAGAUUAUAUGAUCAUAAUUGCAAUUAUAAUCCAAACACAUAUUCACAUAGAUGUCAAAAAUCUUGAUGUGCUAGUGUCGGUUCAACACAAUUGGUUGGAAGUUUUAAAAUAUAUAUAUAUAUAUAUAUAUAUAUAUAUAUAUAUUACACCAUCGGUUCAUCAUCAUCACCCGUUUGUAUUAAUUUAUAGAUUUUUAAAACAAAAGUCAAACUUCUUUUAAUAAAUAAUCCAACGUCUAUAUUAACUGACGGUGAAAACAGUGUAUUUCAAUUAAUCUUAUAUAUUAAUAAUAUAUAUAUAUAUAAUAAUAUAAUAUAUUAUUUAUAUAGAUAUAUAUAUAUAUAUUAUAUAUAUAUAUUAAUUAUAUAUAUAUAUAAUAUAUAUAUAUAAUAUAUAUAUGAGAUUAAUUGAAAUACACUGUCAGUGUAAAAGGGUUUUACACAUCACUUAAUUAUAGACGUUGGAUAUUAAAAGAGUUUGACUUUUAUUUAAAAUCUAUAAAGUAAUACAAACGGGUGAUGGUGAUGAACGACGGUGUAAAACUUUUUACACUGACAGUGUAUAGUAAUUAAUCUCUAUAUAUAUAUAUUGAUUCAUUGAAAUACAUUGACAGUGUAAAGAGAUUUUACACCGUCAAUUAAUCUUAGGUCUUGGAUAUUAAAUAAAUUGAUUUUUAUUUUAAAAAUCUAUAAAGUAAUGCAAAGCGGUGAUGAAAUGAACGACACAGUUUAAUAUUAUAUAUAUAUAAUAUAAUAUAUAUUAUAUAAUAUAUUAAUUAUAUAUAUAUAUAUAUUAUAAUAUAUAUAAUAUAUAUUAUAUAUAAUAUAUAUAUAUAUAUAUAUAUAUUGGUUGGUUGCAAAUAUAAUAAGAUGAAAACUCUACGAAUCACUUUUCUACAUCACUAUUCAUGAAAAUGAGGNNNNNNNNNNNNNNNNNNNNNNNNNAGAGAGAUAAGGGUCCAAAUUUAUUUUUCAUCUCCCCUAAUUUGACCAUAUUUCUAGAGAAAUAGCAAAAACAAACUUGUGUGCAAUUAAAAGCUUCUCUCAAUCUAGUUCACAUAAUCACAGCUGCAAAUAAACAAAAGCAACACCAAUAUUUUGUGUACAAAAUGAUCAAAGAACUAUAUAGGAUAUUUUAAAACUACCAUUAAAUUGCUGAAGAUUCCACUCACUUACGCUUAAAAUAAGCUUUUUUUCAGGAGGAACAAAAAACAAAUACCAAAUCUAACAAAGAAAUAAUGAACAAUACUAAAAAACUUUGAAUACAUAAAAAAAAUAUAUAAAAUUGAUCUUGAAUUUGUGGUCUCUAAGACAUAGCAACAAAAUUAAAGACCUACUUCAUUUUUUUUUGUUUUUUUUGUGAUGGUUCAAACUUUUUAUAUUUGUGAUUUCCUUAUAAAACAUUAAGAAAACAUAUAGCAAAAACCUUUGUCCCCAAGAAAAAACUCAGAGAACAUUAAGAAAACAUAUAGCAAAAACCUUUUGUCCAAGAAAAAACUCCAACUCAGAUUCAGACAGACACAGACACGAUACCAUAUCAGACACCACCAGACACGUUGGUAAUGGCAUUUUUAACUUAUGUCGGACAUGAUCAUGCUUUCAUUUCCAUGAACGAUAGGAUAUAUUCUUUGAUUACCUUCGCGCCUCUUGUAGAUACUUUGGAAUCCACUGUUCGAGCUAGCGAACGAUGAAUUCCAAAGCACAAUGUAGAAAACGGCGAACCAUUACCAUCAUCUUCACUUACACCUUGAAUCAAAAGACGAUCCACUGCUUAAGAAUCCCUCUUACUACCUUGUCGUCGCAGACGUGAUUUGGCCGAAUCCGUUGACAACGAGAAGGUGAUGACGAGGGAGACGGCGAAUUGCUUUUCUUGAAGUUUAGUUUUUGAAGAAAUGCCGAAAGAGUUUGGACGAUUUCGAGAUUUUCUCAUUCUUUUGUUUGCAUUGUUGAAAUGGUAAGAAGGUGGUGGUGUGAGAGGAAGGAAUUGUGUCUUUAGAGAAUGUGUGUUUUUGGAGUUCCGGGUUGAGAUUCCAAACAAAUGGAACAGCAACAGAAACUCUAAAGGAUGGUUAGAGAUGGAGUUUUCCUUUGAGAGUAAUCUGCUGAAAAACUUGUCCAUCUUGUUUGAUUUGAAGAACACUUUUCUCACAAGUUGAAUUGAACAUUUUUGGUUGAUUGGAAAUAUUGGUAAGAAUGAGAGGAAGAAAA